UACAGAGGGUGCAAGCGUUGUUCGGAAUUACUGGGCGUAAAGCGCGUGUAGGUGGCGAUGUAAGUCGGGUGUGAAAUCCCUCAGCUUAACUGAGGAAGUGCACUCGGUACUGUGUCGCUUGAGUGUUGGAGGGGAUGGCGGAAUUCCCGGUGUAGAGGUGAAAUGCGUAGAUAUCGGGAGGAACAUCAGUGGCGAAGGCGGCUACCUGGCCCAAUACUGACACUCAGGUGCGACAGCGUGGGGAGCAAACAGG
rnacentral:rRNA from 1 species